GCUGGGACGAUCAUCUAUGGUCUGGGGUGCAGACUUCAAACCUGUAGCUGUUUAAUGACAGAGUGGUUCAAUUCCACCUUUCGGGCG